rnacentral:rRNA from 1 species
UCCUACGGGAGGCAGCAGUGGGGAAUCUUGCGCAAUGGGCGAAAGCCUGACGCAGCAACGCCGCGUGCGGGAAGAAGGCUUUCGGGCUGUAAACCGCUUUCAGCAGGAACGAAAAUGACGGUACCUGCAGAAGAAGGAGCGGCCAACUAUGUGCCAGCAGCCGCGGUGAUACAUAGGCUUCAAGCGUUGUCCGGAUUUAUUGGGCGUAAAGAGUUCGUAGGCGGUCGAGUAAGUCGGGUGUGAAAAUUCUGGGCUCAACCCAGAGACGCCACCCGAUACUGCUUAACUUGAGUUCGAUAGGGGAGUGGGGAAUUCCUAGUGUAGCGGUGAAAUGCGCAGAUAUUAGGAGGAACACCGGUGGCGAAGGCGCCACUCUGGAUCGACACUGACGCUGAGGAACGAAAGCAUGGGUAGCAAACAGGAUUAGAUACCCUGGUAGUCCAUGCGGUAAACGGUGGGCACUAGGUGUGGGUUUCUAUUAACGAAAUCCGCGCCGUCGCUAACGCAUUAAGUGCCCCGCCUGGGGAGUACGGUCGCAAGACUAAAACUCAAAGGAAUUGACGGA